UCCAACCUUAAGCCGCUUCCCUUCAGUUCCGACUGUACCCUCCCAAUCGCCUAAGGCGCGGAGACAAGCAAAAAGAACUAAGAUCCGACAGGGGGAACCUCUUUGCUUUAAGAGGCGGGACUAAGGCUAGCUGAAGACCAAUGAGAAACCGAGGAAAGACAUACAGGACCUGUAGCCUAUAGGAAAAAUGGGUGGAACUUGAAGCGUGCGCGCGCAAUCAUACUGCGCAUGACUGGCAAAGAAAGUUUUAGAGUUCUGGAACAAUCUGGAAGAAUCGAUCCUCGUAUUGAAAUCCAACAUCUCCGUAGUACUCCUAUGAUAACUCACUGUUUGAAUUUGCUCACUAUUUGAAUUUGCACUAUUCAGUGGAAAGGCUCAUCCAGUUCUCCCAUUCUUAUAGACCUAAAAUGAAGAUUAGUCGACUGCGCAAUUCACCACCUUCCACAGCCGAUUCGCUAACAGUUAAAAUAUAUUGAAUGGUGACAGACAACGAGCAAGUUCUAACUGCCGCUUUUCUCUGACUACCUUCUCUGCUCCGAACUCCUCUCCAACGGCUCUUCUGGACGUGUCUCCUACUUAAAGCCGCAGUACUCUCACGUGAUGUGGAUCGUUACUUGUAUGCUAAUGAGUCUCAACGACACAUCUCGAGCCCCCACCUCCGUCCACUCUGCACUCCGAUUCCACAUAUGGCUAUGAACACCACAAGACACUACAGGCUUCUCAAACUUGUAGAGUCCAGAAUUUAAACUCAUUAUUUCCUCUGUACUAACAAUCUUAUGUAUUUUUUCUGUCAUUUAUGCUUGUAUUCUUGGGAUAUUUUUGAUUCCCCCU